UACAGAGGGUGCGAGCGUUAAUCGGAAUUACUGGGCGUAAAGCGCGCGUAGGCGGCUUUGCAAGUCGAUUGUGAAAUCCCCAGGCUUAACCUGGGAACUGCAUUCGAGACUGCAUAGCUAGAGUAUGGGAGAGGGAAGUGGAAUUUCAGGUGUAGCGGUGAAAUGCGUAGAUAUCUGAAGGAACAUCAGUGGCGAAAGCGACUUCCUGGACCAAUACUGACGCUCAUGUGCGAAAGCGUGGGGAGC
rnacentral:rRNA from 1 species